UGUUGCCUACGGGGCGCAGCAGUGGGGAAUAUUGCACAAUGGGGGAAACCCUGAUGCAGCAACGCCGCGUGAGUGAAGAAGUAUUUCGGUAUGUAAAGCUCUAUCAGCAGGGAAGAGAAUGACGGUACCUGACUAAGAAGCCCCGGCUAACUACGUGCCAGCAGCCGCGGUAAUACGGAGGAUGCGAGCGUUAUCCGGAUUUAUUGGGUUUAAAGGGUGCGCAGGCGGCACGGCAAG
rnacentral:rRNA from 1 species